rnacentral:misc_RNA from 1 species
GAUGAAGAACGUAGCGAAAUGCGAUAAGUAAUGUGAAUUGCAGAAUUCAGUGAAUCAUCGAAUCUUUGAACGCACAUUGCGCCCCUUGGUAUUCCGAGGGGCAUGCCUGUUCGAGCGUCAUUAUAACCCCUCAAGCUCAGCUUGGUGUUGGGGCCUGCCGCACGGGCAGCCCUUAAAAUCAGUGGCGGUGCUAUCUGGCUCUAAGCGUAGUAAUUCUUCUCGCUAUAGAGUCCCGGUGGAUGCUUGCCAUUAACCCCCAAUUUUCUAUGGUUGACCUCGGACCAGGUAGGGAUACCCGCUGAACUUAAGCAUAUCAAUAAGCGGAGGA